CACGUAGGGUGCGAGCGUUGUCCGGAAUUAUUGGGCGUAAAGAGCUCGUAGGCGGUGUGUCGCGUCGGCCGUGAAAACCUGCAGCUUAACUGUGGGCUUGCGGUCGAUACGGGCAUCACUGGAGUUCGGCAGGGGAGACUGGAAUUCCUGGUGUAGCGGUGAAAUGCGCAGAUAUCAGGAGGAACACCGGUGGCGAAGGCGGGUCUCUGGGCCGAUACUGACGCUGAGGAGCGAAAGCUAGGGUAGCAAACGGG
rnacentral:rRNA from 1 species